GACGAACGCUGGCGGCGCGCCUAACACAUGCAAGUCGAGGGAGAACCGACCUUCGGGUCGGGGAGACCGGCGAACGGGUGAGUAACACGUGAGGAACCUGCCCUGUAGACCGGAAUAAACCAUGGGAAACUGUGGCUAAUGCCGGAUGGUCUCGGAUGACCGCAUGGACGUCCGAGGAAAUGGUCUGCCGCUACAGGAUGGCCUCGCGGCCUAUCGGCUAGUUGGUGAGGUAACGGCUCACCAAGGCGA
rnacentral:rRNA from 1 species